rnacentral:rRNA from 1 species
GACGAACGCUGGCGGCGUGCUUAACACAUGCAAGUCGAACGGAAAGGCCCUGCUUUUGUGGGGUGCUCGAGUGGCGAACGGGUGGGUAACACGUGAGUAACCUGCCCUUGACUUUGGGAUAACUUCAGGAAACUGGGGCUAAUACCGGAUAGGAGCUCCUGCUGCAUGGUGGGGGUUGGAAAGUUUCGGCGGUUGGGGAUGGACUCGCGGCUUAUCAGCUUGUUGGUGGGGUAGUGGCUUACCACGGCUUUGACGGGUAGCCGGCCUGAGAGGGUGACCGGCCACAUUGGGACUGAGAUACGGCCCAGACUCCUACGGGAGGCAGCAGUGGGGAAUAUUGCACAAUGGGCGGAAGCCUGAUGCAGCAACGCCGCGUGCGGGAUGACGGCCUUCGGGUUGUAAACCGCUUUCGCCUGUGACGAAGCGUGAGUGACGGUAAUGGGUAAAGAAGCACCGGCUAACUACGUG